GUACCUAUAACGCGCGAGCAAGUAUUAUUUUCAACAACAAGCACACAAAACUUUUUUUUUUGUACAUUUCUUGCCUGCUUGCUUCUACGUCGAUCGUCGUCGGACACAUUUUUAUAACAAUAAUAAUAAAAUAUAAAAUAUUUGGAUUAGUUACACGGAAAAAUUCAGUGUAUUUAGUGUCGUCGUAUACAGUCGCAUCUCGCACAUAUACAAACUACUAAAAAAAAUAUGUGCAAGUAAAAAACAAAAAAUAAUAAUAAUAAUAAUUGGAGACGCCAAAGUCUAAAAAAAGUAAAAUUUAAUUUUUUUUUGGAGCGAAAAAGGAGGAAAAAUGUGCGCCGCUCAGACAAACACGUCAAAUCAAACGUUCGGAUAUACAUGGGGCUUCGCGGACAAUUCUCGCGGCGAAAGUGUCGUCGAGAUCUCGCCAAAUAUCAACUAUACAGUCAGUGAUGCGAUGCCAUACUUGCAGUUGGCGGAUGGCAGCAACAUCAUCAUACAGAAACAGGAUACAAAGGGUAACAUCACGCAUACCAACAAGACCGGCGUGCGACGUAUGCUGGUAGUGAACAGCGCCGAUGCCUUUCCGCAAGGAACAACACAGAGGGUCAUAACGACGUCGGGAGGCGCCGCAACAGUGACACAUCACAAGAAACACGAUGUUCUAAGUAUGGGAUGCGAUAAAAACUGCAAUUGCAGCGAAGGCAGUACGACAACAGUCACACCGAUUUUUACGACAACAAAUGGUUUGAUUGAUUCAAAACACACGACAGUCUUGACGUCGAGCGGCAAAGCAGCGGGCGCCACGCAAUUCAUGAGCCCCUUUGGCCCGAUUCAACUUACCGCCGAGGAAUGCAAUGAAAUUCUGUUGAAGCGACAAAUGAAUGCCGCAACGACAACGACGCCGCAACACACGGCAACCAUUAACACAUCGAACGACGGGCAUCACUCGAUUUCGGUGCAAGUGCAAAAAGUCAUUCAGGGCUUGGAAAAUGAUGAGUCGGAGAGUCCGACGACAAUAACGCAUUGCAAAAUUGAACCAAACAUGGAAAUUACGCCGAAAAUUGAGCAAACUGACGAGAUGCAAGACAGUAUGAACAAUUCGGCACAAGCCAAGGAACGUCCUUAUGCGUGCGAUCAAUGCGGCAAAUCCUUCUUGCUAAAACACCAUUUGACGACACAUGCUCGUGUCCAUACCGGCGAACGCCCUCAUGUUUGUCCCCAUUGCGGCAAGGAUUUCGCUCACAAACAUUGCUUGAACACCCAUUUGGUGCUCCAUUCAACUGAACGUCCUUUCCAAUGUCAGGAAUGCAAAAAAUCUUUCACGCUCAAGCAUCAUUUGUUGACACACGCUCGCGUUCAUAGUCGCGAAAGACCUUUCGUGUGUCAAGAAUGCGGAAGAUCGUUCCCAUUGAAACGUCAUUUAGUGACUCACACGAAAUUUCACGCCGGAGAACGACCUUUUGUGUGUGAAGAGUGCGGAGAAUCAUUCGCUCAAAAGGAUCAUCUUGUAAUGCAUUCACGUUUUCAUGGGUCUGUUAAUCCAUUUGUUUGCAAUGAGUGUGGACAAACGUUCCCCCGAAAAUUCCAACUUGUGAAUCACGGAAAGCUUCAUGGAAAAGUUCCGCAUGCUUGUACGGUUUGCGGCAAAGAAUUUUUGCAGAAACGAACGUUAGCAGCUCAUAUGCGUCUUCAUACGGGAGAUCAACCGUAUCCUUGUAUCGCUUGCGGCGAAGGUUUCCGUACCAAAAGUGAACUUAACCAACAUAAUCGCUCCGUGCACAAUGGCGUGAAUCCGAAUUCGAGCAAUACGACAAUUGUGCCCGUGAAUCGUAUUGUGACGACAGUUGCUGCGAGUCAACAGCAGCAGCAGCAACAACAGCAAACGCAGCAGAUUCAGAUUCAACAGGUUCAACCACAGCAAAUUCAACAAGAUCAUCAUACCGUCGAGAUCCAAACCGUUCAACAUCAUGUCACGCAAAAUCAUCAACCGCAAACAAUUACCGUCGUUAGCGGCAAUCAAAAUUUGCUCCAUCAGAUCAGUCAAGCACAGCAACAACAAGAGGCUUCGCCGCAACGCCCUCAGCACGGAUGUCGUGAAUGCGGAUCUGCAUUCCUUACCAAAGAAGCGCUCGCCUUGCAUAUGCGCCUUCACACGGGAGACAAGAGUCUCAUGACAGACUUGUGUGCAUUGACAGCUGCGAUUCCCGGAUUGUCCUUCCAAGGAGUUCCAACAUCGCCCGUUCCCGUGCAAAUUGUGUCAUCAACAGGACAAGUUAUCGGCCAAACGCAAAUCAGUCACAGUUCGCCGCAACAACAAGUUCAAGUACAAACGACGCAAACGUCUCAACCGACACAAAUCAAGUACGAAACGGUACAAAUGAUUCCGCAGCAACAAGUACAAGUGCAACAGCAGCAGCAACAGCAACCGCAAACGCAGACAAUUAUCCAACAAGUGACGCAACAGAAGCCAAAAUCGCAUUUCUGUGGGCAUUGUCAAAAAGGAUUUGCUGCUAAACAUGGUUUGUUAUUGCACAAUAAACGUCAUCCGAAUGGUACUUGCACUAUGAGAUCACACGUUUGUGAAUGCGGAAAGGCUUUCUUCCAAAAGAAUCAUCUCAUGUUGCAUCAGAGACAACAUAUGGAGCAAAAGCCUAACAUUCAACAAUUGCAACAAGUUCAAGGCAACGAAGUAAUCGUCACGCAAGGCGGUCAACAAAUCCAAACGAACGGCGCUCAUCAACAAGGACAAAUUCGCAUCAUCAACAACCAACAGAUGCAGCUACAGGUGUUGCCAGACAACAACCAGCAAGUAAUUAAAUACGAAAUUAUCCAGCACGAGGGUCGCCAGUCGAUUGAAUGAGGAGAGGCCACACUUCGAAUUCAAAAACCGGAUGGUUCGGAGGAGCUGAGAAAAGUAUUUAUCCUCAAGUAAAUGCUCUUCUCAGCUCGCAAAUGCAUGGCCCGGAAAAAAAUCGUUGUACAUAAAAAUAUGCGUUUCUUAGUUUUACAGUGACUCAUUCAAUCGAUUGGCUUCGAUUCUGCUAUGAACAGAGAACUUUGAUGCACGAUUUCGACCUCGAUGAUGAUGAAAACUUAGACUAUAAGAGCGAAUGAGCUUUAAGUUACUUUAGAUGAAAAAGUAAGCAAAAAUAUCC